rnacentral:lncRNA from 11 species
UUCAAAUUUCUUUGCAAUCCAAAUUAUAUGAUGCUCCCGAUUCUUCUGUUCUGCCUUCCCUUCCAGGAGAAGGAGUCUGAGAAGAGUGUCCUGGUCAAGCGGCUGGAGCGGCUGACCAAUCAGGUGGCAGAACUGUGCAGCCCAUCCAAGGGCCUUGACCCGGACAAGAUGGCCUCCCUACGGAAGCAAGUCUGGGACCUGGAAGAGAGUGCGGCCAAACGAGAGCAAGAGCUCAGCCUCCAAGCUAAGAACAUUGAACACCUGGAACAGCUACACUUGCGCCUGGAGCUGGAGAUCGAGAGGAAGCGUCACCUUCACCAGAAGGAAAUGGAAGACAAAGAGGAAGAGAUGGAUGACCUCCGGGGAGCCUGCCAGAAAAAACUGCGACAACUGGAAAUGCAAUGCGAACAGGAAGCGGAGGAGAAGCAGAGGUUGCUGGCCGAAAAGCGCGACCUGGAAGGACUUAUCGCGACCUUAUGUGAACAGGUCGGCCACCGUGACUUUGAGGCGGAGAAGCGCCUUCGCCGGGACCUGAAGCGGAGCCGCGCCCUCCUGGCCGACGCCCAGCUCCUCCUCCAGGAAAGCUCUUCCGGGUCGGAAGCCGGGUCAACAGAGGUCAAAGGGGAGAUGGAGAAGCUGCGCAGGCAGUGGGGAGAGAGCGUGGCUCGUUGUGCGGAAGCGCAGGAAUUCUCAAAGGCGCUCAACGUUGAACUGGAAGGACUUCGUUUGGAGUUGGAGAAGGUCACCCGGAACAAGAACUUGGUGGAUGAGCAGCUCUACCAACUGCAGCACGAGAAAGCGGAUCUGCUGAAGCGCAUCGACGAGGAUCAGGAAGAUCUGAACGACCUGAUGGAGAAACACAAGGCCCUCAUCGCACAGUCUGCCAAGGAUAUUUCCCAAAUCCAGGAUCUUCAGGGUCAGCUGCAAGAUUUGAAGAAAGAGAAGCAAAACCUUCAGGAAAAAGUAAGAAAAAUAAUAAUUAUUAUUAAUAUAAUAUAAUAAGGAUGAAAUAAAGUUAUAAUAUU